CUGAAAUGUAAGAGCCCUUAAGACAGCCUAUAGGUACGUCACAGUGCCAAAAAUCUUGAGAGCUAGGGGAAUUUCCUGUGUGGUUUAUGCUGCAGGCACAAAACUCAGAAGGAGGAAUCUGAGGUGACAUCUGAAGAAGCACAAUUACUAGCAUGCCAAUUUACCUUUUGAAUAUCAGUCUAUGGAAGAAAUCAGCCCUCCAGUUUAAUAGGGUCAGCUCCUCAGACUAAGACUGCUGUGUGCAAAUUGGGCAGCAUGGAUAGCCUUUUUGUGCAAGUUUUCUAAACCUCAUGACAGCAAGUGCUUGAAUAGCAGUUCGAGGUAAUAAGCUUAGGACCGGAAGAAUCUUCAUCAC